UAGGUUAAUGAUGACCACUGUUGUUGCAUGCAUUGUUGGUUGUGCCUGUAGGUCUUGAAGUCUGAGGUCCAU